ACAUUAUUCUGGGUCUUCUUGGAAAAGAUAUUGGAGUGGUUUGACAUUUUAUUCUCCUACUCAUUUGACAGAUGAGGAAACUGAGACAUACAGGAUCAAGUAGCUUCCUAGGACCAUGCAGGUAGUAAGCGUCUGAGCCAUGCUGCUGGGUUCCAGAUUUCUCAUGAAUUGGCUAUUCAUCCCUGGACAUCUAAGGAAAUGGAGUUGAAGAGAUAGGAGAAGA
rnacentral:lncRNA from 1 species